GACGAACGCUGGCGGCAGGCCUAACACAUGCAAGUCGAACGCUCCCUUCGGGGAGAGUGGCGCACGGGUGAGUAACACGUGGGAACGUACCUUGGAGUACGGGAUAACUGUUGGAAACGACAGCUAAUACCGUAUACGCCCUUUUGGGGAAAGAAUUUCGCUCUGAGAUCGGCCCGCGUCCGAUUAGCUAGUUGGUGAGGUAAAAGCUCACCAAGGCGACGAUCGGUAGCUGGUCUGAGAGGAUGAUCAGCCACACUGGGACUGAGACACGGCCCAGACUCCUACGGGAGGCAGCAGUGGGGAAUAUUGCGCAAUGGGGGCAACCCUGACGCAGCCAUGCCGCGUGAGUGAAGAAGGCCUUCGGGUUGUAAAGCUCUUUCGGGUGUGAAGAUGAUGACGGUAACACCAGAAGAAGCCCCGGCUAACUUCGUGCCAGCCGCCGCCGUAAAAC
rnacentral:rRNA from 1 species